rnacentral:rRNA from 1 species
UCGAACGGACUCAUAUUGAAACCUAGUGAUUUAUGAGUUAGUGGCGGACGGUUUGAGUAACGCGUGGAUAACCUGCCGUAUACCGGGGGAUAACACUUAGAAAUAGGUGCUAAUACCGCAUAAGCGCACGGCUCCGCAUGGGGCAGUGUGAAAAACUCCGGUGGUAUACGAUGGAUCCGCGUCUGAUUAGCUAGUUGGCGGGGUAACGGCCCACCAAGGCAGCGAUCAGUAGCCGGCCUGAGAGGGUGGACGGCCACAUUGGGACUGAGACACGGCCCAAACUCCUACGGGAGGCAGCAGUGGGGAAUAUUGCACAAUGGGGGAAACCCUGAUGCAGCGACGCCGCGUGAGUGAAGAAGUAUCUCGGUACGUAAAGCUCUAUCAGCAGGGAAGAAAAUGACGGUACCUGACCAAGAAGCCCCGGCUAACUACGUGCCAGCAGCCGCGGUAAUACGUAGGGGGCAAGCGUUAUCCGGAUUUACUGGGUGUAAAGGGAGCGUAGACGGCAGCACAAGUCUGGAGUGAAAUCCCGGGGCUUAACCCCGGAACUGCUUUGGAAACUGUGCGGCUGGAGUGCAGGAGGGGUAAGCGGAAUUCCUAGUGUAGCGGUGAAAUGCGUAGAUAUUAGGAGGAACACCGGUGGCGAAGGCGGCUUACUGGACUGUAACUGACGUUGAGGCUCGAAAGCGUGGGGAGCAAACAGGAUUAGAUACCCUGGUAGUCCACGCCGUAAACGAUGAUUACUAGGUGUCGGGGGACCAAGGUCCUCCGGUGCCGGCGCAAACGCAUUAAGUAAUCCACCUGGGGAGUACGUUCGCAAGAAUGAAACUCAAAGGAAUU